UUUGCGAAAGAUUCAACAAAAGGUUGCAUAACUUGCGAAUAAAUGCGCGAGUUUACAGUCAGCUGGUACUUCCGGCGGCGGGCAAUUCUCUCGUUAAUUGAAGGAGCAUCCCCUCGCGUUCUCGAGAGCACCCCUCGAAAGGAAAAGGCAAGUAUAAAAAAAUAUACCAGAAAGAAACAUAACGGAGCAGUUAUAUAAGAGAAGAACGUAUUGAAAGGAUCACUUUACUGCGAACGAAGCAAAAAUACCGCGGCAAUCGUCGAUCAUGAACGAAAAUAAGCGAAAAUGCACAGAAAGAGAGAGAAAGAGAAGAUUACAGUAAAGUUAGUUAAAAAUAACAAUAAAUAACAAAAAAACAUAAUAAUUUAUAUAAUAAUUUAUAUUCUUCACACACAGGUUUCUGUAUGAAUAAAACGUCACAAUUAUAUCGAGUUUUCAGAAAUGAUUCUUUAUCAAAGCUUUCGCAUUUUUCGUUUCUGCAAUAUUCGAAGUCGCCUCGAUGAAUAUCGGUUUAUGCAGACACAUAAAACGCGAGCAGACCAUAAUAUAAAACCGGAUCAAAAAGCAGGUGAGCAAACAUUCUUCUGAAUAUAAAUCAGCUAACUAAAUGAAACAAAA